CACCUCACACUGCCUAACCCUGUCGAUGAGAGUGGACCGUUCGCACAACACGUUCGACAGGGGCGGGGGAACCGAAAGCGGGCUCGUCUGACGAGCCCUAGGGGUUAAGACGCGUGUGGACCGGCCAGGGGGCGGUGGUCCACGGAAGAGCGCGUCCGGAUGUCCCAUCCGAACCCGACAGCUAACUUCGUAGGCAUUGGGAAAGGCAUCA
rnacentral:sRNA from 2 species